UCCCCUUGGCAGCACAUAUACUAAAAUUGGAAUGAUACAGAGAAGAUUAACAUGGCCCCUGCACAAGGAUAACACACAAAUUCGUGAAGCGUUUCAUAUUUUU
rnacentral:snRNA from 1 species